AGCGACCUCAGGUUAGGUGAAACUACCCGAAGAAUUUAAGCAUAUUAAUAAGCGGAGGAAAGAAACU
rnacentral:rRNA from 1 species